UACGCACCAUUCUCUCUUCCUCUUUUCCUUUCCUCCUUUUUACUAUUGUCUCGCCGCCAACGCAUGAACCCUAAUCUUAAAUUCGCACUGUUCUCUCUUCUUAUUCCCUUUUCUCCUUCUUUCCGUUGCCUUGGCGUCGCCGCCGGAACCCUAAUCUUAAAUACACACCGUUCAUUUAAUCUCAAACUACCCUUUUUCUCUCUCUCUCUCUCUCUCUCUCUCUCUCUCUCUCUUCCCUUUCUUUCUUUUCCCCGCUGCUUGGUCGCCACCGCCGGUUCUAGCACCUCACCAAGCCUAUAAUUGCAAGCAGCAAGUCUCUCAACUUUCUUUGUUCAAAGUUAGGAUCUUUUUCUCAAAUUUUUGAGGUUCUUUUAAGAGACUGUUGAUUCAAUGGAUUUGGAUGACACCUCUAGGCAGCUGGGGGUGGAACAGAGCCGAUCGAUGACAUUGUGAAUGUUUUGAAGAGUUUGGUGGAGGCAUUGAGGGAAAUGGUGCCCUCUGCUGAGGAUCAUGCUGCUUAGAUCAAAAAUUGAUCCUUGGUUUUGAUUGAGUAUGAAGCUAAAAGACAUGUGCUGGAGAGAAGAUGCUCGGACCUACCUAAUUAAAAUGAUUAAUCGACACGUCUGUAGGUCUCACUUUUGGAUGAAGAUAAGCCACAAUUGUUGACUUUGGGCCUAUAUAAUUGAUGUUAUCUUGCCAAUCUGUUAGCAUUCCACAUUCAUUGAAUUUUUAUUGACUUUUUAUGUACUCUUAUACAG